ensembl:snRNA U6 U6 spliceosomal RNA
AUGCUUGCUUUGGCAGCACACAUACUAAAAUUGAAAUGAUACAGAGAAGAUUAGCAUGGCCCCUGUACAAGGCCAAUAUGCAAACUUAUGAAGCAUUCUGUAUUUUU